GAAGGUAUAGCUCAGUGGUAGAGUACAUGCUUAGCAUGCACAAGAUCCUGUGUUCAAUCCCCAGUACCUCCA
rnacentral:tRNA from 1 species